rfam:Pseudoalteromonas atlantica T6c, complete genome.
CACUCGCUCUCGGGGCGCCUUUUUUGGCUGAGAUGUAGUAAUACAAACCCGUAGAACCUGAUCCGACUAGUAUCGGCGUAGGAAUGAGCAGCACAUCCUCA